rfam:Ovis aries breed Texel chromosome 1, whole genome shotgun sequence.
UUCCGGGUGACUCAGACGGUAAAGAAUCUGCCUGGAAUGCAGGAGACCUAGGUUCAAUUCCUGGGUUGGGAA